AUGAAAUUCAAGUCCGAUGAAUUUGAUAUCAUAUUCUUCACUCUGAAGCAUAUGAGAUGGUAAGCAGUACUAAUUCAUCUGCAGGAUGACAACGCCAAAACCACUGAGUGGGUUCUUGAAAGUUGAUGUACAAAUCACAUGACUCGUGACAAGAGUUUAUUGAUGAACAUCCCACUAACUCCAUCACCGCUGAAGCAUAUCACCUACGCAUACAAAGUAAAAAAAGCAAGGUAUUAGGCCUUGGUAAGGUGGUUAUAUCCGAG
rnacentral:lncRNA from 1 species